GAUCUUAAAUUUAAGUUAUUAGAUGGGUGCAAAAGUAAUUGCGGUUUUUGCCAUUGAAAAUGAUGGUAAAAAGUGCCAUUACUUUUGCACCAGCCGAAUAAUUUAUUUUC
rnacentral:miRNA from 10 species